rnacentral:rRNA from 1 species
UGGUGGGUAGUUUGACUGGGGCGGUCUCCUCCUAAAGAGUAACGGAGGAGCACGAAGGUUGGCUAAUCCUGGUCGGACAUCAGGAGGUUAGUGCAAUGGCAUAAGCCAGCUUGACUGCGAGCGUGACGGCGCGAGCAGGUGCGAAAGCAGGUCAUAGUGAUCCGGUGGUUCUGAAUGGAAGGGCCAUCGCUCAACGGAUAAAAGGUACUCCGGGGAUAACAGGCUGAUACCGCCCAAGAGUUCAUAUCGACGGCGGUGUUUGGCACCUCGAUGUCGGCUCAUCACAUCCUGGGGCUGAAGUAGGUCCCAAGGGUAUGGCUGUUCGCCAUUUAAAGUGGUACGCGAGCUGGGUUUAGAACGUCGUGAGACAGUUCGGUCCCUAUCUGCCGUGGGCGCUGGAGAACUGAGGGGGGCUGCUCCUAGUACGAGAGGACCGGAGUGGACGCAUCACUGGUGUUCGGGUUGUCAUGCCAAUGGCACUGCCCGGUAGCUAAAUGCGGAAGAGAUAAGUGCUGAAAGCAUCUAAGCACGAAACUUGCCCCGAGAUGAGUUCUCCCUGACUCCUUGAGAGUCCUGAAGGAACGUUGAAGACGACGACGUUGAUAGG